rnacentral:pre_miRNA from 1 species
AGACCCCUGUAUCCGUGUUGAGAUUUCGUCAGCCAUCAACCCGUUGGGGCUGAUGGUACUUCCCAAAUAAGUGAGGCG